rnacentral:lncRNA from 1 species
UAUGAUUUUAAUAUGUAUUGCUCAUAAUCAGAAGAUAAAAAUCUACCUCGUAGCAAUUGUUUCAUCUAUCUCCAUAUAGCAAUAGUAUUUCUCCCUUCUUUUUGCCUUCUCUCUUUCAACCUAUCCCACCACACCCGAUGCACUUUCUUUUAAUCUAUAAGCAACUAAUAUCACUUGCCUUUCCUCAAGAAUUUCCAUAUACUCAAAGAAUUUAUCUACUUCUAUCACUCAAUCUAAAACCCUUCUAUGUCUAAAUCACCAUUAAAAGUAGAAAUAUC